rnacentral:piRNA from 1 species
CAGGACGUUGAACUUGGGUAGGU